GGCAGUGUGGCCUAGUGAGUAAAGCACUGGACUGGGAUUCAGGAGACCUAAGUUUUAUUCCUGGCUCUGCCA
rnacentral:tRNA from 1 species